CCACCUUUGACAUGUACGGAAUUCGCCAGAGAUGGCUUAGUGCUCGAAAGAGAACCGUAACACAGGUGCUGCAUGGCUGUCGUCAGCUCGUGUCGUNAGAUGUUGGGUUAAGUCCCGCAACGAGCGCAACCCUUGUCAUUAGUUGCUACAUUCAGUUGGGCACUCUAAUGAGACUGCCGGUGACAAACCGGAGGAAGGUGGGGAUGACGUCAAGUCCUCAUGGCCCUUAUAGGUGGGGCUACACACGUCACACAAUGGCUGGUACAAAGGGUUGCCAACCCGCGAGGGGGAGCUAAUCCCAUAAAACCAGUCGUAGUCCGGAUCGCAGUCUGCAACUCGACUGCGUGAAGUCGGAAUCGCUAGUAAUCGUGGAUCAGAAUGUCACGGUGAAUACGUUCCC
rnacentral:rRNA from 1 species